rnacentral:rRNA from 1 species
GGCCGCGUCGACAACGAUGAGUGCUAAGUGUUGGAGGUUCGCCUCUCAGUGCUGCAGCUAACGCAUUAAGCACUCCGCCUGGGAGGUACGACCGCAAGGUUGAACUACAAGGAAUUGACGGGCCGCGCCAAGACGUGGAGCGAUGUGGUUUAAGUUCGUUAAGCAACGCGAAGACCUUAACCACGGUCUGGUCAUGUGCCGAAUCCAAUGGAAAGACCAAGGAGUGCCUUCGGGUGCCGCGGAACACAAGUACUGGGAGGCAAGGGCACACACGGGAUAGGAG